rfam:Oryza glaberrima chromosome 2 Oglab02_0299_6, whole genome shotgun sequence.
AAAAAGACAAACCCUAGUUUUUCAUAUCCAAUUUUAACUGUUCGUCUUAUAUGUAAAUUUUUUUAUAAUUCGUAUUUUUAUUGUUGUUAGAUGAUAAAAUAUGAUUAAUAUUUUAUGUGUGAAUUGUCUUUUUAAUUUUUUUCAUAAUUUUUUUAAAUAAGACGGACGGUCAAAUGUUAGACACGGAAACCAGAGUUUGCUUUUUUU